rnacentral:rRNA from 1 species
AGAGGGAAGUGGAAUUCCUGGUGUAGAGGUGAAAUUCGUAGAUAUCAGGAGGAACACCAGUGGCGAAGGCGACUUCCUGGAUCAAUACUGACGCUGAGGCGCGAAGGCAUGGGUAGCGAACAGGAUUAGAUACCCUGGUAGUCCACGCCGUAAACGAUGGAUACUAGCUGUCCGGGGCCUUGAGUUCUGGGCGGCCAAGCGAAAGUGAUAAGUAUCCCACCUGGGGAGUACGUUCGCAAGAAUGAAACUCAAAGGAAUUGACGGGGGCCCGCACAAGCGGUGGAGCAUGUGGUUUAAUUCGA